CUGGUAAAGCAGCGGCCAGGGGGAGCCGUGAGUGAGGCGCUGCCUCUCCCGCUGAAGCGGGUUCCAAGGCCACCGUGAGGGGGACCAUCCAUCCAGGAGAGUACUGGGCAGGCUGCAAAUGUCUGUGUUAAAACAGCUCUGCUGGGCUAAGACAGGACAGAAGCAGACAGCAGGUGGAUGAGACACAAUUUCCUAUCCAGCAGAACCUGCAGCAAGCUCCACAGCACCCUCCAUGGGCUCAGUCUUGCUCCCGGGAAGAUGGUUAAUUCCAUCAGCUCCUUCUGGCCGGCAGCAGGAAGAGUGGCCCUGUGUGUGCCAGGCCCUGCAGUCUCUCCUCUCAGCUGGUGUCUCCAGUGAGGGACCUGAGUCAUCGCACACAUGAGCCUGUGCUCAGCCUGCACAUCUCCCGCCUCCCACCAGCUGCUCCUCAACUGCCAGGGCCAGACUGUGGCAAAAUCUCACUCCUCUGCCGAUGCUGGGGUUUCCCUCGUGUCUGGGAGGUGGUGUGCUUGGUGGCCUGAGCACUGCAGUGAAUCCAUGUUUCCCUCCCAGCACCCUGUUCUGUCCUCCAACUUGGCCGACAGCUCUGGCCAGGGACGCAGCCCAGCUGGUGCCCACCCCGCACUCUGUCCAUUUCAUAAGAGCCCUUGGUUUCCUCACUUCCCUCAGAUUUUGCCAAGAGAAUGGUCCUGGUGUGGCCCAGAAAGGCCAGCGGGGUGCAGCCUGGGACUGAAAGCAGAGGCGGCUCUGGUGGGGAAAAAGUAGCUCUCCCAGCCUAGCCCUACUGGUGGGCGGCACCUCCUGGCUCCAGGCCAUCUUUUGUCCCAGUCCUAGGUAAGAAAAACACAAACAAAAGCCAGUCCCAUGGCACUCGAGAAGCAGGAGGCCGUUCCCUGACAGCAACAUGCUGUGUGCACAGACACACGGGUGGACAGGAGGCAGAGCUCGGGGUUGCUGCGGAGCGGGCAGGACACUGGAGCGGCAGGCAGUGCGGACCCGCCGGGCAGCCGUGCACGGUUGUCGUCCUCAGCGGCAGGAGCCAGUUUGUUGCUCAGGGCCUUGUCUUUUUACAAAGAGCCCCAGGCCCCGGGGGCUUCUCUGGGUGCCUCUUUGCUGCCAUGUCUGCACGCGGGCGGAGAGCAGACCAGGCUACCGACCCUCUCGCUUUGCUGUCUUCACGUGGAAAAGCCAGUGUCGUAGCCCCAAAGGAGGGGAAACUGUAUUGAUUUGGGGAGCCUCUAUGUUGAUUUCAAAACAGAUUGUCUCCUGUGUUCUCAAAGACUGGAAGCGAACCCCACAACCGCCUUAGGCCACAAAAGCUUUAUCCUUUCUAAUUAGCAUCCCUGUGACCUGCUCUGCGCCCUGCAGAUAUUUUGCUCAGCCAGCCAGAAGGAGGGAGGCCAGACACCAGCCCCCACAGACCUGCGGCUGCGACCCCCUGCCUGGGGACGAUGGGGUCGGGGUCCAGUAGCUGCCCCAGAAACAAGUGGGGCUGCAGGAGGCUGAUGGUGAGCUUGGAGGUUGGCAGAAUUCUAAAUCUGGGCACUGCAGGGUCCCCACAGGUCACGACCCUACUCUGCUCCACCCAGGCUCCGGAGGACCUGAGCAGGAACCUCUGCAGGGGGGGCCCGGGGCUCCCUGUCCUCUCAGCAGCCGGCAGUGCUCCCUGACAGCCCGGGCCUCUCCCUCCAGUAGUUCGGUAGUUUGCUGUCACCAACAUGGCUGGGCCUGGGACAGGCUCCUCCUCUCCCUCCAGAAGCCAGGCAGUCCCUCCUGCCUCAGUUUCUCAGACUAGGCCGCCUCUCCCAUCGCGAGACACUGAAGACCCUCAGCUGUUUCCAUCUGCCCAGUCUGACUGCUGGAUCGCCCUCUGUGUGCGUUGGUUUGCUGUGUUCUUGCUACUCGCCCUUGGAUAAGAUUUCUUCUCUACUCAUGAAGCUGCGUGUCCUGGAGGGCAGGGCCGCACCUCACAUGCAUGUUGCCCACAUAGCUCAGCAACAGAUGCUCUCACGCUUGUUAAAAGUAAAACCGGGCCAGGCGCAGUGGCUCACGCCUGUAAUCCCAGCACUUUGGGAGGCCGAGGUGGGUGGAUCACCUGAAGUCAGGAGUUUGAGACUAGCCUGACCAACAUGGAGAAAUCCCGUCUCUACUAAAAAUACAAAAAAUUAGCUGGGCGUGGUGGCACAUGCCUGUAAUCCCAGCUACUCGGAGGCAGGAGAAUUGCUUGAACCCAGGAGGCGGAGGUUGCGGUGAGCCAAGAUCACGCCAUAGCAAUUGCACUCCGGCCUGGGCAACAAGAGCAAAACUCUGUCAAAAAG
ensembl:lncRNA LINC00574 long intergenic non-protein coding RNA 574